rnacentral:rRNA from 1 species
AGAGUUUGAUCAUGGCUCAGGAUGAACGCUAGCGGCAGGCUUAACACAUGCAAGUCGAGGGGUAUAUUUCUUCGGAGAUAGAGACCGGCGCACGGGUGCGUAACGCGUAUGCAAUCUACCUUUUACAGAGGGAUAGCCCAGAGAAAUUUGGAUUAAUACCUCAUAGUAUUAUGAAAUGGCAUCAUUUUAUAAUUAAAGUCACAACGGUAAAAGAUGAGCAUGCGUCCCACUAGCUAGUUGGUAAGGUAACGGCUUACCAAGGCUACGAUGGGUAGGGGUCCUGAGAGGGAGAUCCCCCACACUGGUACUGAGACACGGACCAGACUCCUACGGGAGGCAGCAGUGAGGAAUAUUGGUCAAUGGACGCAAGUCUGAACCAGCCAUGCCGCGUGCAGGAUGACGGUCCUAUGGAUUGUAAACUGCUUUUGCACAGGAAGAAACAACUCUACGUGUAGAGUCUUGACGGUACUGUGAGAAUAAGGAUCGGCUAACUCCGUGCCAGCAGCCGCGGUAAUACGGAGGAUCCAAGCGUUAUCCGGAAUCAUUGGGUUUAAAGGGUCCGUAGGCGGUUUAGUAAGUCAGUGGUGAAAGCCCAUCGCUCAACGGUGGAACGGCCAUUGAUACUGCUAGACUUGAAUUAUUAGGAAGUAACUAGAAUAUGUAGUGUAGCGGUGAAAUGCUUAGAGAUUACAUGGAAUACCAAUUGCGAAGGCAGGUUACUACUAAUUGAUUGACGCUGAUGGACGAAAGCGUGGGUAGCGAACAGGAUUAGAUACCCUGGUAGUCCACGCCGUAAACGAUGGAUACUAGCUGUUGGGCGCAAGUUCAGUGGCUAAGCGAAAGUGAUAAGUAUCCCACCUGGGGAGUACGUUCGCAAGAAUGAAACUCAAAGGAAUUGACGGGGGCCCGUACAAGCGGUGGAGCAUGUGGUUUAAUUCGAUGAUACGCGAGGAACCUUACCAAGGCUUAAAUGUAGAUUGACCGAUUUGGAAACAGAUCUUUCGCAAGACAAUUUACAAGGUGCUGCAUGGUUGUCGUCAGCUCGUGCCGUGAGGUGUCAGGUUAAGUCCUAUAACGAGCGCAACCCCUGUUGUUAGUUGCCAGCGAGUCAUGUCGGGAACUCUAACGAGACUGCCAGUGCAAACUGUGAGGAAGGUGGGGAUGACGUCAAAUCAUCACGGCCCUUACGCCUUGGGCUACACACGUGCUACAAUGGCCGGUACAGAGAGCAGCCACUGGGUGACCAGGAGCGAAUCUACAAAACCGGUCACAGUUCGGAUCGGAGUCUGCAACUCGACUCCGUGAAGCUGGAAUCGCUAGUAAUCGGAUAUCAGCCAUGAUCCGGUGAAUACGUUCCCGGGCCUUGUACACACCGCCCGUCAAGCCAUGGAAGCUGGGGGUGCCUGAAGUCGGUGACCGCAAGGAGCUGCCUAGGGUAAAACUGGUAACUAGGGCUAAGUCGUAACAAGGUA